UGUGCAGGGUACAUCAAGUCGGUAGCCAGUGUACUAGGGAGUAGUGAGAUGGAUGCAUGAAGCAGUGGAGCAGGUAUGUGCGUCGAGCUGCCACUGCACUUGUGCAUCUCCUACCUCAAAUGAACUUGGCUAAUUGUAAUUGUUGCUACUAAACUGGUAUGCAUGUGUUCCUUUUGGUAGGAUGUUAAUUCUUGUUAGAAUGUACACUGAUUAUCGUUCUAGGAAUGGAAGUUUUAGGAAGAAUUUGAUGCUUGCUGAGCUACUGUAAUGGGAGUCAUUUCUGUAUAUGUUUCUAAACUACAAACAAAAUCACAUGGUGGAUUAGUGGUGCUAAUCUGUCUCAGUUCAACUAGUUAAAUAAUCUCAUUAUACCUAGAUGUGCUAACCAGUUUGACUGUCACAGUUCAACCAGUUAAAUUUCCUAGGUUCAAAUAUAUUUACUGUACCAACACCAAAUAUUAGUUAAUCCUUCUUCCACUUCCUACACAAGAAAUUGAGCUCUAAAAGAUUUUGUGUUUCCACUUGCAUAACAACUCAUGGAACAACUUCUACAGACCUAGAUAGUGUGAGCAUCAAAAUAGAAAGCAUGGUACAUCAGGGAAAAGCCAACGCCGCAUCCCCGCAGUGCCGCCUCCUUUCAGCGCGCCGGCCUCGCCUCCCCACACAUGGCUUGCGAAGAGUCGGUGGUGCUGCUGAAGAUGACGGGGCAGCUCUACUUCUCUAUGAUGACCAGGACGACGUUGCUAUCUGUGCUCGGCCAUAGGUGUGUUCGCUCAUGUUUCUCUCUCACUCUGUGUGAGGAGCUGCUGCUGCUGUCUCCUAGUGGAUGUACUCUAAAAAGAAAGAUAGCAUUGCAGCUUUUUGAAAUGAAACAAGAUAUGAAUUUUGAUGGAUGUGGAGGUUCUUUUGACCUUGAAAUUUAUGAGUUCAACUUUUACUUGAUUUUCAGUUCAAAAAUUGCAUUCUUUUCAAGAAAUCAACUUUAAUAUGCAGAACAUCAAGGAAAUCUUGAAAAUUAUAUGUGCGCUCUAUGUCUUUUUCUUAUGCUUACAAGUAUUCUGCACUCAUAUUGUUAUGGAUAAGGUCAGGUCGCUGUGGAGUUUCAGAUAUAUGCAAUUGAAUUGGAGCACCAUGCUCUUACCCAUGUAAUUUGCAGGGAAAAUAUAAUAAGUUCUAAGAACAUAAAUAUAGAAGUUCAUAUUUUGAAACAAAUGAAGUAUUUCAAAGUACAUAACUUCUAUUUAGGUUUCUUUUGUGUACUUCUAAUGUUACUGUGCAUGAACUUGUCGUUAUUUUUACAUGAUUAUUAUGGUCAUUUCGACCUUGACAAAUUUCAUUUUCUUUUUUCCGUUCAUCUUACAGGGCGAAGGAGCUCCCUUCAGUUCAAUGGAUGCAACAAAAUAAUCCAUGUUGCCUACUAGAACUUGUGUGGGGUGCUGUGGCGUGUGUGCUGGUGCAUGCCUGGUGCCUGAUGCGGCGUGCGAGCAUGUACACAAAUUGAACUGAAUGAUCUCCUAUAAGUGAACUCAAUGAUCUCCUGUAUCUGAACGACAGGGGAGAUGCAUCAUGUACAAAAAAUGGUAGGAUCUUGAGGUAUUGCUGCUACUUCUUUCUUCUCAUGCCCUACUGUUGCUCCAUUUGAUUCCAUGCUACUUAUAUGAAAAUAAUUGAUGGUCUAGGUGCUUGUUGAAAUGCUUAUGAGAACCAAUUUUUGUUGUUUGGUAUUUGGUAUAAUAGGGCAAAGAAACGAUACCCUAUGAUGCCUCUUGCCGAAUAGAUUUAUUAGAAGUUCCAUUUUUCCAGCAAGUGUCUGGUCAGAUUCUCUUGAAAAAUGUUAUAAAAGACACAAGUGCUGCAGCGGUGCCACCACACCUCUGGUUUCUUGUUGGUAUAUUUUCCAUAUGAUCUGCAGCAGUUCUUUAGUGCGCGAUUCGACAAAAAGACCAUCAGUUCAAUUACUAAAUUACUGAAUAUUUUUUGGGUUCAGUUCAAUUACUAAAUUUAGUUCAGUACAAUUCUUGUUAUAGUUACAGAUCAGUUCAAUAGUUAUAGUUUCAGUUUAAUUUAGGUUAGUUCAAUUACAAGCUGGUGUUUAGUUCCUAUGUAGUAUUCUUGAGACCAUCCUAUAAUAUUUCCUCUCAAUUUUUGUUAGCAGAUUUGAUGCAUAGAAACAUCAUCUCCACACCCCCUCUAUUCAUGCGCAGUACGGGCUUCUC
rnacentral:lncRNA from 1 species